rnacentral:rRNA from 1 species
UCAGGCCUNACACAUGCAAGUCGAGCGGAAACGAUGGAAGCUUGCUUCCAGGCGUCGACGGCGGACGGGUGAGUAAUGCAUAGGAAUCUGCCCGGUAGUGGGGGAUAACCUGGGGAAACUCAGGCUAAUACCGCAUACGUCCUACGGGAGAAAGCAGGGGCUCUUCGGACCUUGCGCUAUCGGAUGAGCCUAUGCCGGAUUAGCUAGUUGGUGAGGUAAUGGCUCACCAAGGCCGCGAUCCGUAGCUGGUCUGAGAGGAUGAUCAGCCACAUCGGGACUGAGACACGGCCCGAACUCCUACGGGAGGCAGCAGUGGGGAAUAUUGGACAAUGGGCGCAAGCCUGAUCCAGCCAUGCCGCGUGUGUGAAGAAGGCCCUCGGGUUGUAAAGCACUUUCAGUGAGGAAGAACGCCUGGCGGUUAAUACCCGCCAGNGAAGACAUCACUCNCA